GUGAAAAGAGACACUGUAUCUUUCCACAGAUGUAAAAUAUAAAUGUGGAAUGUGACAGAUUAAACACAAAAAAGAGGAAAACAAUCACAGCAGGAAUGGCAACUGCUAGGAUGCUGCAAGAGAAGAUGUCGCCUGUCAAGUGAAGUAAAAUGAAUUCCAGAUUAGAAAUAAAACAGCACAGGGAUGGCAUCAGAAUGUAGUCUUGAAGUGUGAGGAGCCAUCACAUUACCCUAACCAUUCAUUUUACUGUCCACCAGCGAACCUCCUCUUUUAAAAUGCUUUUACUUUCCAAAAUGUUUGAUUAUAACAGGAAUGAUCUGGAGUGAUCUGGGUCAUGCUGGACGCAUUUCUUGUCAGA